rnacentral:rRNA from 1 species
AAUGGGUCAGCGACUUAUAUUCUGUAGCAAGGUUAACCGAAUAGGGGAGCCGAAGGGAAACCGAGUCUUAACUGGGCGUUAAGUUGCAGGGUAUAGACCCGAAACCCGGUGAUCUAGCCAUGGGCAGGUUGAAGGUUGGGUAACACUAACUGGAGGACCGAACCGACUAAUGUUGAAAAAUUAGCGGAUGACUUGUGGCUGGGGGUGAAAGGCCAAUCAAACCGGGAGAUAGCUGGUUCUCCCCGAAAGCUAUUUAGGUAGCGCCUCGUGAAUUCAUCUCCGGGGGUAGAGCACUGUUUCGGCAAGGGGGUCAUCCCGACUUACCAACCCGAUGCAAACUGCGAAUACCGGAGAAUGUUAUCACGGGAGACACACGGCGGGUGCUAACGUCCGUCGUGAAGAGGGAAACAACCCAGACCGCCAGCUAAGGUCCCAAAGUCAUGGUUAAGUGGGAAACGAUGUGGGAAGGCCCAGACAGCCAGGAUGUUGGCUUAGAAGCAGCCAUCAUUUAAAGAAAGCGUAAUAGCUCACUGGUCGAGUCGGCCUGCGCGGAAGAUGUAACGGGGCUAAACCAUGCACCGAAGCUGCGGCAGCGACACUAUGUGUUGUUGGGUAGGGGAGCGUUCUGUAAGCCUGUGAAGGUGUACUGUGAGGUAUGCUGGAGGUAUCAGAAGUGCGAAUGCUGACAUAAGUAACGAUAAAGCGGGUGAAAAGCCCGCUCGCCGGAAGACCAAGGGUUCCUGUCCAACGUUAAUCGGGGCAGGGUGAGUCGACCCCUAAGGCGAGGCCGAAAGGCGUAGUCGAUGGGAAACAGGUUAAUAUUCCUGUACUUGGUGUUACUGCGAAGGGGGGACGGAGAAGGCUAUGUUGGCCGGGCGACGGUUGUCCCGGUUUAAGCGUGUAGGCUGGUUUUCCAGGCAAAUCCGGAAAAUCAAGGCUGAGGCGUGAUGACGAGGCACUACGGUGCUGAAGCAACAAAUGCCCUGCUUCCAGGAAAAGCCUCUAAGCAUCAGGUAACAUCAAAUCGUACCCCAAACCGACACAGGUGGUCAGGUAGAGAAUACCAAGGCGCUUGAGAGAACUCGGGUGAAGGAACUAGGCAAAAUGGUGCCGUAACUUCGGGAGAAGGCACGCUGAUAUGUAGGUGAAGCGACUUGCUCGUGGAGCUGAAAUCAGUCGAAGAUACCAGCUGGCUGCAACUGUUUAUUAAAAACACAGCACUGUGCAAACACGAAAGUGGACGUAUACGGUGUGACGCCUGCCCGGUGCCGGAAGGUUAAUUGAUGGGGUUAGCGGUAACGCGAAGCUCUUGAUCGAAGCCCCGGUAAACGGCGGCCGUAACUAUAACGGUCCUAAGGUAGCGAAAUUCCUUGUCGGGUAAGUUCCGACCUGCACGAAUGGCGUAAUGAUGGCCAGGCUGUCUCCACCCGAGACUCAGUGAAAUUGAACUCGCUGUGAAGAUGCAGUGUACCCGCGGCAAGACGGAAAGACCCCGUGAACCUUUACUAUAGCUUGACACUGAACAUUGAGCCUUGAUGUGUAGGAUAGGUGGGAGGCUUUGAAGUGUGGACGCCAGUCUGCAUGGAGCCGACCUUGAAAUACCACCCUUUAAUGUUUGAUGUUCUAACGUUGGCCCGUUAUCCGGGUUGCGGACAGUGUCUGGUGGGUAGUUUGACUGGGGCGGUCUCCUCCUAAAGAGUAACGGAGGAGCACGAAGGUUGGCUAAUCCUGGUCGGACAUCAGGAGGUUAGUGCAAUGGCAUAAGCCAGCUUGACUGCGAGCGUGACGGCGCGAGCAGGUGCGAAAGCAGGUCAUAGUGAUCCGGUGGUUCUGAAUGGAAGGGCCAUCGCUCAACGGAUAAAAGGUACUCCGGGGAUAACAGGCUGAUACCGCCCAAGAGUUCAUAUCGACGGCGGUGUUUGGCACCUCGAUGUCGGCUCAUCACAUCCUGGGGCUGAAGUAGGUCCCAAGGGUAUGGCUGUUCGCCAUUUAAAGUGGUACGCGAGCUGGGUUUAGAACGUCGUGAGACAGUUCGGUCCCUAUCUGCCGUGGGCGCUGGAGAACUGAGGGGGGCUGCUCCUAGUACGAGAGGACCGGAGUGGACGCAUCACUGGUGUUCGGGUUGUCAUGCCAAUGGCACUGCCCGGUAGCUAAAUGCGGAAGAGAUAAGUGCUGAAAGCAUCUAAGCACGAAACUUGCCCCG